rnacentral:rRNA from 1 species
GAUGAACGCUAGCUACAGGCUUAACACAUGCAAGUCGAGGGACCGGCGCACGGGUGAGUAACACGUAUCCAACCUGCCCUUUACUCGGGGAUAGCCUUUCGAAAGAAAGAUUAAUACCCGAUAUAAAGGAUGGGGAUGAGUUCCAUUAGGUUGGUGGUGAGGUAACGGCCCACCAAGCCUUCGCUGGAUAGGGGUGCUGAGAGGAAGGUCCACCACAUUGGAACUGAGACACAGUCCAUACGAGUACGGGAGGCAGGAGUGAGGAGGAUUGGUUGAUGGGCUUUAGCCAGAACCAGCCAGGUAGCGUGAAGGAUGAAUGAUUAUGGGUCGUAAUAUUCUUUUAUAUAAGAAUAGGUAUUAGAUGAAUAAGGAUCGGCUAACUCCGUGCCAGCAGCCGCGGUAAUAC